GGCUCAGAUUGAACGCUGGCGGCAUGCCUUACACAUGCAAGUCGAACGGCAGCACGGACUUCGGUCUGGUGGCGAGUGGCGAACGGGUGAGUAAUGUAUCGGAACGUACCUUUCAGUGGGGGAUAACGUAGCGAAAGUUACGCUAAUACCGCAUAUUCUGUGAGCAGGAAAGCAGGGGAUCGCAAGACCUUGCGCUGAUUGAGCGGCCGAUAUCAGAUUAGCUAGUUGGUGAGGUAAAGGCUCACCAAGGCGACGAUCUGUAGCGGGUCUGAGAGGAUGAUCCGCCACACUGGAACUGAGACACGGUCCAGACUCCUACGGGAGGCAGCAGGUGGGAAUUUGGACAAUGGGGCAACCCUGAUCCAGCCAUGCCGCGUGAGUGAAGAAGGCCUUCGGGUUGUAAAGCUCUUUCGGCCGGGAAGAAAUCGCAUGGGCUAAUACCCUGUGCGGAUGACGGUACCGGCAUAAGAAGCACCGGCUAACUACGUG
rnacentral:rRNA from 1 species